UGGGGAAUAUUGGGCAAUGGGGGAAACCCUGACCCAGCAACGCCGCGUGAAGGAAGAAGGUUUUCGGAUUGUAAACUUCUGUCCUAAGGGAAGAAAGAAAUGACGGUACCUUAGGAGGAAGCCCCGGCUAACUACGUGCCAGCAGCCGCGGUAAUACGUAGGGGGCAAGCGUUGUCCGGAAUUAUUGGGCGUAAAGGGUGCGUAGGCGGCCGAUCAAGUCAGGUGUGAAAGACCCGUGCUUAACAUGGGGGUUGCACUUGAAACUGGUUGGCUUGAGUAUGGGAGAGGCAAGCGGAAUUCCCGGUGUAGCGGUGAAAUGCGUAGAGAUUGGGAGGAACACCAGUGGCGAAGGCGACUUACUGGACUGUAACUGACGCUGAGGCGCGAAAGUGUGGGGAGCAAACAGGAUUAGAUACCCUGGUAGUCCACACUGUAAACGAUGAAUGCUAGGUGUAGGUGGUAUCGACCCCAUCUGUGCCGGAGUAAACACAAUAAGCAUUCCGCCUGGGGAGUACGGCCGCAAGGUUGAAACUCAAAGGAAUUGACGGGGGCCCGCACAAGCAGCGGAGCAUGUGGUUUAAUUCGAAGCAACGCGAAGAACCUUACCAGGUCUUGACAUCCAGUAAAGCCUGUAGAGAUACAGAGUCCCUUCGGGGGUACUGAGACAGGUGGUGCAUGGUUGUCGUCAGCUCGUGUCGUGAGAUGUUGGGUUAAGUCCCGCAACGAGCGCAACCCUUAUGAUUAGUUACUAACGGGUAAAGCCGAGGACUCUAAUGAGACUGCCGGGGACAACUCGGAGGAAGGUGGGGACGACGUCAAAUUAUCAUGCCCCUUAUGACCUGGGCUACACACGUGCUACAAUGGCCACUACAAAGAGGAGCGAGCCCGUAAGGGGGAGCGGAUCUCAAAAAAGUGGUCCCAGUUCGGAUUGUGGGCUGCAACCCGCCCACAUGAAGUCGGAGUUGCUAGUAAUCGCGGAUCAGCAUGCCGCGGUGAAUACGUUCCC
rnacentral:rRNA from 1 species